CCACCCCUCCCGGGAGCCAUGUCGAGGGGCCCUGGGGAGAUGCCUGGCCUGCUGUGUUCCCAUGGGUGGCCUCAGGGAAGGGUUUCUCCACCCCCACUGACGUGGUGUGUGGAGGCCUCAGUGGCCCCUCAUGUGCUCCUGUGUGGCCAGGCGGCAGCUGGACCACACUGGCCUCCGACAUCUUUGACUGCUGCUACCUGACCAGCAAGCUCUCCCGGGGUGGCACCUACACCUUCCGCACGGCAUGUGUCAGCAAGGCAGGAAUGGGUCCCUACAGCAGCCCCUCGGAGCAAGUCCUCCUGGGAGGGCCCAGCCACCUGGCCUCUGAGGAGGAGAGCCAGGGGCGGUCAGCCCAACCCCUGCCCAGCACAAAGACCUUCGCAUUCCAGACACAGAUCCGGAGGUGCAGUGGCCUGGGGGGCUGCAGGCGGGUGGGGCCAGGGCCUGGACCCCCCCUUGUUGGCCACCCAUGCCCCCACACCCACCAUCUCGCUGAACUGGGCUCCUGCUGCUCUGAGUGUUGGGAAUCGGGGAAUGGGAGGGGACCACCCACCAGCCUGACCGCUGUCCCCUUGAGCAGGGGCCGCUUCAGUGUGGUGCGGCAGUGCUGGGAGAAGGCCAGCGGGCGGGCGCUGGCUGCCAAGAUCAUCCCCUACCACCCCAAGGACAAGACAGCAGUGCUGCGCGAAUACGAGGCCCUCAAGGGCCUGCGCCACCCGCACCUGGCCCAGCUGCACGCAGCCUACCUCAGCCCCCGGCACCUGGUGCUCAUCUUGGAGCUGUGCUCUGGGCCCGAGCUGCUCCCCUGCCUGGCCGAGAGGUG
rnacentral:lncRNA from 1 species